CGAUGAAGCCAGCUUGCUGGUGGAUUAGUGGCGAACGGGUGAGUAACACGUGAGUAACCUGCCCUUGACUCUGGGAUAAGCCUGGGAAACUGGGUCUAAUACCGGAUAUGACUGUCCGUCGCAUGGUGGUUGGUGGAAAGCUUUUGUGGUUUUGGAUGGACUCGCGGCCUAUCAGCUUGUUGGUGAGGUAAUGGCUUACCAAGGCGACGACGGGUAGCCGGCCUGAGAGGGUGACCGGCCACACUGGGACUGAGACACGGCCCAGACUCCUACGGGAGGCAGCAGUGGGGAAUAUUGCACAAUGGGCGCAAGCCUGAUGCAGCGACGCCGCGUGAGGGAUGACGGCCUUCGGGUUGUAAACCUCUUUCAGUAGGGAAGAAGCCGUAAGGUGACGGUACCUGCAGAAGAAGCGCCGGCUAACUACGUGCCAGCAGCCGCGGUAAUACGUAGGGCGCAAGCGUUAUCCGGAAUUAUUGGGCGUAAAGAGCUCGUAGGCGGUUUGUCGCGUCUGCCGUGAAAGUCCGGGGCUCAACUCCGGAUCUGCGGUGGGUACGGGCAGACUAGAGUGAUGUAGGGGAGACUGGAAUUCCUGGUGUAGCGGUGAAAUGCGCAGAUAUCAGGAGGAACACCGAUGGCGAAGGCAGGUCUCUGGGCAUUAACUGACGCUGAGGAGCGAAAGCAUGGGGAGCGAACAGGAUUAGAUACCCUGGUAGUCCAUGCCGUAAACGUUGGGCACUAGGUGUGGGGGACAUUCCACGUUUUCCGCG
rnacentral:rRNA from 1 species